UACGUAGGGGGCAAGCGUUUGUCCGGAUUUAUUGGGCGUAAAGAGCGUGUAGGCGGCUUUACAGGUCCGUUGUGAAAACUCGAGGCUCAACCUCGAGACGCCGGUGGAAACCGUAGAGCUAGAGUCCGGAAGAGGAGAGUGGAAUUCCUGGUGUAGCGGUGAAAUGCGCAGAUAUCAGGAGGAACACCGAUGGCGAAGGCAGGUCUCUGGGCCAUAACUGACGCUGAGAAGCGAAAGCAUGGGGAGCGAACAGG
rnacentral:rRNA from 1 species